GGGUGAGUAACGCGUGAGAAACCUGCCUUUCACAAAGGGAUAGCCUCGGGAAACUGGGAUUAAUACCUUAUGAUACUAAUUCUUCGCAUGAAGAAUUAGUCAAAGCGUAAAGCGGUGAAAGAUGGUCUCGCGUCCCAUUAGUUAGUUGGUGAGGUAACGGCUCACCAAGACCGCGAUGGGUAGCCGGCCUGAGAGGGUGAACGGCCACACUGGAACUGAGACACGGUCCAGACUCCUACGGGAGGCAGCAGUGGGGAAUAUUGCACAAUGGAGGAAACUCCUGAAUGCAGCGGACGCCUCGUGAACCGAAUGAAGGCCUUCGGG
rnacentral:rRNA from 1 species